ACUCCUUAUGAUGCACUUCCUGUUUGUAAGAUGCUGGUUCCCCUCCAAACUCUCACUAUAAAAGACACUCAGGCGUCCUUCGCCGGCACAGAGGCGCUAAGUGUGUAUACUACUGCCAGAUGUUCACUUUUUAUUAUGAAGAAGAUAACAGACCCAAGUAAACAAAAGAUGGCUAUUCCGAAAAAGAAUUCACAGCUGCAGAAAAAAGUGAGAAAACAGAAUCAGCAGAGUACAGGACUGAAGGCAAAAUCCAGCAAAAUACAAGGGCUGAAAGAAUUAGAUGGAAGAUCUGUGCAAGGGACUAAGGCUAAAAUUUACAAACCUCUUGCGAACAGUAUUGUAGAGCAUAUAGAAAUGUGCCUUGAAACUGCUACACUCUCAGUCAGCCGUGACCUUCGUACAUCUCAGUAUGUUCAAGAUUCCCAGAGGUGCCUCAAGCAGAAACUCCUCUGUCACUGUAAAAAAAUGAAAGCUCCCAUAACGAAAAUGAGCAUUUUGAAAAAUCUAAAGAAAGAUAUUUGUGGUGAACUCCAGAGGAUGGAAGCAAGUGAAGAAACCAUAAAAUGUUUGAAGGAUAACACAGAGAAAGCAUUGGAUGCCACCAAUAGAAUAAACGAGCAAAUUGUUGACCUUGAACAAAGAUUGGGCUCACUGACUGAGGCCACAAAUUCUGACACUCUUCUGCUUCCAAGUGCCUCCUUCCAAGCUCCAACAAUGCAAGAAUAUAUUUGUAUGCUGAAGAAUCCAAAACUAUUGUUGAAAGAUCUACAAUUGAUUGAAUCAAGUCGCUUGUCAACAAAUAUGAGAGGCCUGAUUGAAAAGUCUUAUGGUGAAGCAGAAAGCUUGUACCAUACCAGAAAGCGAAACUGAGAAAAUCAGAAAUAUGGGCCAGUCUAUAACUGAACUAAGCUCUUUUAGAACCUGGAACUUUUGUCCACGUGAAUUUCGGGAUUGGGCGAGGACCAUAAGGAAAUUAUUAUGAGCAUCACUCAUGACACUGGUGAGAUGAGACCGCUUGAAAUGAGACUGACAGUGCUUCUGUGUGAGACAAAAGAGGAAAACCAAGAGAAAAAAUUAGCUUUACUCUAGUAUAGCAGAGGGGGUUAGGGUUCAUAAAAAACAUUUGGUUUGAGAAGAAAGAAUCAAUUAAAUCAGAGGCAAUAUGUAAACAAAUAUGAGUAAGCGUUUAGUUUAGUCUUGCUGACAUGUUUACAGCCCCUGCUAGUUUUGGGUCUGUAAACAUGUGACAACAAAAAGUUACUACUCAGCAGCAAAUAAUUUAAAGGUCUGUUCCUCAGUCCUUCAGGAAGAUUAUCCAGAGGUUAUUAGAAGAAAAGGGUUCUGCCUAAAUAUUCGAAAGGAGUUUUUUUACAGGGAGAGUUGUGAAGAUGUGGAAUUCUAUCCCUGAAUCA